rnacentral:rRNA from 1 species
ACAUGCAAGUCGAGCGGAAACGAUGGUAGCUUGCUACCAGGCGUCGAGCGGCGGACGGGUGAGUAACGCGUAGGAAUCUACCUAGUAGUGGGGGACAACCAGUGGAAACGCUGGCUAAUACCGCAUACGCCCUACGGGGGAAAGGAGGGGAUCUUCGGACCUUUCGCUAUUAGAUGAGCCUGCGUCGGAUUAGCUAGUUGGUGGGGUAAAGGCUCACCAAGGCGACGAUCCGUAGCUGGUCUGAGAGGAUGAUCAGCCACACUGGGACUGAGACACGGCCAGACUCCUACGGGAGGGAGCAGNGGGGAAUAUUGGACAAUGGGCGCAAGCCUGAUCCAGCCAUGCCGNGUGUGUGAAGAAGGCCUUCGGGUUGUNAAGCACUUUCAGCCGAGGAGGAAAGGUUGUAAGUUAAUACCUUGCAACUGUGACGUUACUCGCAGAAGAAGCACCGGCUAACUUCCGUGCCAGCAGCCGCGGUAAUACCGGAGGGUGCAAGCGUUAAUCGGAAANUACUGGGCGUAAA